AGAUCCCUCCCUGCCCCGGGCAGCCGCGGCGGGUGUGGCCAGCGCGGAGGCAGGACGCCGCCGAGCCUCCAACUUUACCUUUCCAACUCCGACAGCCCGUCGCCUUUCUGACCACGUCCCUACGGUUUCCCGGCAUCCGCCUCCCUCACCCCACCACACCUGAGGAAAACUUUUCCCUCGCCCCUCAAUUCAAAUUCAGCAGUGCCCACGGUUGCCGCAAACCGCCCGGUCCCUAGCAACAAGGUUCCGGCCGUAGAGCGAGAGCCUCUAGGUGUAAGGAAGGUGAUGUCGUAAAGCCGGGAGUGUCGUAAACCAGUUACAAAUUAUAAUACUGUGGUAGAAACAAAUUCAGAUUCAGAUGAUGAAGACAAACUGCAUAUUGUGGAAGAAGAAAGUGUUACAGAUGCAGCUGACUGUGAAGGUGUACCAGAGGAUGACCUGCCAACAGACCAGACAGUGUUACCAGGGAGGAGCAGUGAAAGAGAAGGGAAUGCUAAGAACUGCUGGGAGGAUGACAGAAAGGAAGGGCAAGAAAUCCUGGGGCCUGAAGCUCAGGCAGAUGAAGCAGGAUGUACAGUAAAAGAUGAUGAAUGCGAGUCAGAUGCAGAAAAUGAGCAAAACCAUGAUCCUAAUGUUGAAGAGUUUCUACAACAACAAGACACUGCUGUCAUUUUUCCUGAGGCACCUGAAGAGGACCAGAGGCAGGGCACACCAGAAGCCAGUGGUCAUGAUGAAAAUGGAACACCAGAUGCAUUUUCACAAUUACUCACCUGUCCAUAUUGUGAUAGAGGCUAUAAACGCUUUACCUCUCUGAAAGAACACAUUAAAUAUCGUCAUGAAAAGAAUGAAGAUAACUUUAGUUGCUCCCUGUGCAGUUACACCUUUGCAUACAGAACCCAACUUGAACGUCACAUGACAUCACAUAAAUCAGGAAGAGAUCAAAGACAUGUGACGCAGUCUGGGUGUAAUCGUAAAUUCAAAUGCACUGAGUGUGGAAAAGCUUUCAAAUACAAACAUCACCUAAAAGAGCACUUAAGAAUUCACAGUGGAGAGAAGCCAUAUGAAUGCCCAAACUGCAAGAAACGCUUUUCCCAUUCUGGCUCCUAUAGCUCACACAUAAGCAGUAAGAAAUGUAUCAGCUUGAUACCUGUGAAUGGGCGACCAAGAACAGGACUCAAGACAUCUCAGUGUUCUUCACCGUCUCUUUCAGCAUCACCAGGCAGUCCCACACGACCACAGAUACGGCAAAAGAUAGAGAAUAAACCCCUUCAAGAACAACUUUCUGUUAACCAAAUUAAAACUGAACCUGUGGAUUAUGAAUUCAAACCCAUAGUGGUUGCUUCAGGAAUCAACUGUUCAACCCCUUUACAAAAUGGGGUUUUCACUGGUGGUGGCCCAUUACAGGCAACCAGUUCUCCUCAGGGCAUGGUGCAAGCUGUUGUUCUGCCAACAGUUGGUUUGGUGUCUCCCAUAAGUAUCAAUUUAAGUGAUAUUCAGAAUGUACUUAAAGUGGCGGUAGAUGGUAAUGUAAUAAGGCAAGUGUUGGAGAAUAAUCAAGCCAAUCUUGCAUCCAAAGAACAAGAAACAAUCAAUGCUUCACCCAUACAACAAGGUGGCCAUUCUGUUAUUUCAGCCAUCAGUCUUCCUUUGGUUGAUCAAGAUGGAACAACCAAAAUUAUCAUCAACUACAGUCUUGAGCAGCCUAGCCAACUUCAAGUUGUUCCUCAAAAUUUAAAAAAAGAAAAUCCAGUCGCUACAAACAGUUGUAAAAGUGAAAAGUUACCAGAAGAUCUUACUGUUAAGUCUGAGAAGGACAAAAGCUUUGAAGGGGGGGUGAAUGAUAGCACUUGUCUUCUGUGUGAUGAUUGUCCAGGAGAUAUUAAUGCACUUCCAGAAUUAAAGCACUAUGACCUAAAGCAGCCUACUCAGCCUCCUCCACUCCCUGCAGCAGAAGCUGAGAAGCCUGAGUCCUCUGUUUCAUCAGCUACUGGAGAUGGCAAUUUGUCUCCUAGUCAGCCACCUUUAAAGAACCUCUUGUCUCUCCUAAAAGCAUAUUAUGCUUUGAAUGCACAACCAAGUGCAGAAGAGCUCUCAAAAAUUGCUGAUUCAGUAAACCUACCACUGGAUGUAGUAAAAAAGUGGUUUGAAAAGAUGCAAGCUGGACAGAUUUCAGUGCAGUCUUCUGAACCAUCUUCUCCUGAACCAGGCAAAGUAAAUAUCCCUGCCAAGAACAAUGAUCAGCCUCAAUCUGCAAAUGCAAAUGAACCCCAGGACAGCACAGUAAAUCUACAAAGUCCUUUGAAGAUGACUAACUCCCCAGUUUUACCGGUGGGAUCAACCACCAAUGGUUCCAGAAGUAGUACACCAUCCCCAUCACCUCUAAACCUUUCCUCAUCCAGAAAUACACAGGGUUACUUGUACACAGCUGAGGGUGCACAAGAAGAGCCACAAGUAGAACCUCUUGAUCUUUCGCUACCAAAGCAACAGGGAGAAUUAUUAGAAAGGUCAACUAUCACUAGUGUUUACCAGAACAGUGUUUAUUCUGUCCAGGAAGAACCCUUGAACUUGUCUUGCGCAAAAAAGGAGCCACAAAAGGACAGUUGUGUUACAGACUCAGAACCAGUUGUAAAUGUAAUCCCACCAAGUGCCAACCCCAUAAAUAUCGCUAUACCUACAGUCACUGCCCAGUUACCCACAAUCGUGGCCAUUGCUGACCAGAACAGUGUUCCAUGCUUACGAGCGCUAGCUGCCAAUAAGCAAACGAUUCUGAUUCCCCAGGUGGCAUACACCUACUCAACUACGGUCAGCCCUGCAGUCCAAGAACCACCCUUGAAAGUGAUCCAGCCAAAUGGAAAUCAGGAUGAAAGACAAGAUACUAGCUCAGAAGGAGUAUCAAAUGUAGAGGAUCAGAAUGACUCUGAUUCUACACCUCCCAAAAAGAAAAUGCGGAAGACAGAAAAUGGAAUGUAUGCUUGUGAUUUGUGUGACAAGAUAUUCCAAAAGAGUAGUUCAUUAUUGAGACAUAAAUAUGAACACACAGGUAAAAGACCUCAUGAGUGUGGAAUCUGUAAAAAGGCAUUUAAACACAAACAUCAUUUGAUUGAACACAUGCGAUUACAUUCUGGAGAAAAGCCCUAUCAAUGUGACAAAUGUGGAAAGCGCUUCUCACACUCUGGGUCUUAUUCUCAACACAUGAAUCAUCGCUACUCCUACUGUAAGAGAGAAGCGGAAGAACGUGACAGCACAGAGCAGGAAGAGGCAGGGCCUGAAAUCCUCUCGAACGAGCACGUGGGUGCCAGGGCGUCUCCCUCACAGGGCGACUCGGACGAGAGAGAGAGUUUGACAAGGGAAGAGGAUGAAGACAGUGAAAAAGAGGAAGAGGAGGAGGAUAAAGAGAUGGAAGAAUUGCAGGAAGAAAAAGAAUGUGAAAAACCACAAGGGGAUGAGGAAGAGGAGGAGGAGGAGGAGGAAGAAGUGGAAGAAGAAGAGGUAGAAGAGGCAGAGAAUGAGGGAGAAGAAGCAAAAACUGAAGGUCUGAUGAAGGAUGACAGGGCUGAAAGUCAAGCAAGCAGCUUAGGACAAAAAGUAGGCGAGAGUAGUGAGCAAGUGUCUGAAGAAAAGACAAAUGAAGCCUAAUCGUUUUUCUAG
rnacentral:sRNA from 1 species